ncrna:unclassified sequences RAGATH-18 RNA
CCCUCUGGAGAGUUAUAUCAAAGGAAAGUAGAAUACUAUUCAUAGUUUUCAAAAUCUGACUCGUAGAACAGGGAA